rnacentral:pre_miRNA from 1 species
UAAGUUUUUCCACUAUAACUGUGUGACCUUUGAAUUCACAGUUUGUGGAAAUACUUAAC